ensembl:lncRNA
CCUGCUGAAGAGAUACCAUACACACAGUCUGUAGUUUACUGCCCUGCUGAAGAGAUACCAUACACACAGUCUGUAGUUUACUGCCCUGCUGAAGAGAUACCAUACACACAGUCUGUAGUUUACUGCCCUGCUGAAGAGAUACCAUACACACAGUCUGUAGUUUACUGCCCUGCUGAAGAGAUACCAUACACACAGUCUGUAGUUUACUGCCCUGCUGAAGAGAUACCAUACACACAGUCUGUAGUUUACUGCCCUGCUGAAGAGAUUCUUUAAAGCUGCAAUCAGCAGUUGAAACAAAAAACAAAGCCUUUUCCCCUCCACUGUUUUGCUAAAAAGCUGAGUAAUGGGGCCGGAGAAAUGUGACCACUCUCCAUUUCAUAGACAGAGCUGUAGAUACAAGGACUGAUUGUCUAAUACAACACCAUGAUAGUUUGAACCGUGUUCUGAGGCUAUUCACUUCCUUUGUUUAGGCAUAUUGGAGAAAAACAAGCUGAUAUUUUGAGUGUCACAGUUGACCUAAGCGCAUGAGGCAAUUUAUUUUACCUUUAUUUAACUGGGCGAGUCAGUUAAGAACAAACUCGUAUUUACAGUGACGGCCCAGGAACAGUGGGGUUAACUGCCUUUUUCAGGGGCAGAAAGACAGAUUUUUACCUCUUCAGCUUAGGGAUUCGAUCUAGCAACCUUUCGGUUACUGGCCCAACGCUCCAACCACUAGUUUACCUGCCACUGACCAGUUAUAUUCUUCAAGAAUCAAUGGAUACACCUGUAUAUCAUUCAUUUAUAAGUCCAAAAAUGGAUGUGUCUACUGCAGAUUGUCUCUCUAAGAUGAGGUGACAUGUUCUUCAGUAUAAACCUAAAGAGAGAUUCCACAGCUGUGAUUAGGAUGACUGUGCUGACGGAGGAUACAGGGGGAGACGAGGGAGGGGGGGCGAGGAGGUGUCCUAUUACCCAUGAUCCUCCUGUCUCAUCGCCAUCACUCAGGGUCUAGGUCUGUUGGUACAUGCCCUUCCUUCCUUCCCAGCGUCCCUCAUCCACAACGCUCCAAUUCACCUCUCAGCUGCCACUCAGCGGCUUUUAAACACAUUCUAACACACAUCAAAGGAACCACUUCUCCUUGAGGAGCUCAAACACUUCAGGAGACUCGGACCGCAGAAAAGGAGGAGGUCUGGGAGACUCUGACCGCAGGAAAGGAGGAGGUCUGGGAGACUCGGACCGCAGAAAAGGAGGUCUGGGAGACUCGGACCGCAGAAAAGGAGGAGAUCUGGGAGACUCGAACCGCAGAAAAGGAGGAGGUCUGGGAGACUCGGACCGCAGAAAAGGAGGAGGUCUGGGAGACUCGGACCGCAGAAAAGGAGGUCUGGGAGACUCGGACCGCAGAAAAGGAGGUCUGGGAGACUCGGACCGCAGAAAAGGAGGAGGUCUGCUAUGGAUUCUUUAACAUCAGAAAUAGACGUUAAAAUGACAAGACUCUUGAAUACGGACACUGAAUCUUAGAGUGUUCAGUUUACCUUCAUGAUGAGUGCAAGAGCAGUAUUAAUUCAUAUUCACAAUGAUGACCAUGUUAUCUGAGGGUUAGUGCUAGUGUUAGGUUUAGGCUUAGGCUUAGGUUUAGGCUUAGGUCUAGGCUUAGGCUUAGGUUUAGGCUUAGGGAUAUGUGACGUCAAAGUUGUAAACUUUAUGAUGAGUGCAAGUGCAUAUUAAUUCAUAUUAACAAGGAUGACCAUGUUAUCUGAGGGUUAGUGCUAGUGUUAAGUUUAGGUUUAGGCUUAAGGUUAGGUUUAUUGUUAGGCUUAGGCUUAGGUUUAAGGUUAGGGUUAGGCUUAGGCUUAGGUUUAGGAUUAGGGUUAGGUUUAAGGUUAGGUUUAGGUUUAGGGUUAGGUUUAAGGUUAGGUUUAUUGUUAGGCUUAGGUUUAGGGUUAGGCUUAGGCUUAGGUUAAAGGUUAGGUUUAUUGUUAGGCUUAGGGUUAUGUGAUGUCUAAGUUGUAUAAUUGUGUAUAUUCUAUGAACUACUGCCAUUACAUAAUAACGAGGGUUGAUUGUUUCUGAGUGGUGUGAGCAGACCCCAGUGUGAGGUCGUGUAGAGUCGCCCCACAGGAGGCCAUCGUCCUGUAAUCAAUACCAAUCCAAACCAAUACUGGAUCAAUACCAGGACCACCUGAGAGACUCAACACACCACUGCCUUGUCAGUCCUUUAGUUCUGCUGCUUUAAUCAUCUGUCUACACCUGACGCUGUUUGUCUUUCUCACCACUG